UACGUAGGGGGCUAGCGUUGUCCGGAAUCAUUGGGCGUAAAGCGCGUGUAGGCGGCCCGGUAAGUCCGCUGUGAAAGUCCAGGGCUCAACCCUGGGAUGCCGGUGGAUACUGUCGGGCUCGAGUCCGGAAGAGGCGAGUGGAAUUCCUGGUGUAGCGGUGGAAUGCGUAGAGAUCCGGAAGAACACCGGUGGCGAAGGCGGUUGGCUGGGCCACAACUGACACUGAUGCGCGACAGCGUGGGGAGCAAACAGG
rnacentral:rRNA from 1 species